rnacentral:rRNA from 1 species
UUUAUGGAGAGUUUGAUCCUGGCUCAGGAUGAACGCUGGCGGCGUGCCUAAUACAUGCAAGUCGAGCGAACGGACGAGAAGCUUGCUUCUCUGAUGUUAGCGGCGGACGGGUGAGUAACACGUGGAUAACCUACCUAUAAGACUGGGAUAACUUCGGGAAACCGGAGCUAAUACCGGAUAAUAUUUUAAACCGCAUGGUUCAAAAGUGAAAGACGGUCUUGCUGUCACUUAUAGAUGGAUCCGCGCUGCAUUAGCUAGUUGGUAAGGUAACGGCUUACCAAGGCAACGAUGCAUAGCCGACCUGAGAGGGUGAUCGGCCACACUGGAACUGAGACACGGUCCAGACUCCUACGGGAGGCAGCAGUAGGGAAUCUUC